rnacentral:rRNA from 1 species
AUUGAACGCUGGCGGCAUGCCUAACACAUGCACGUCGAACGAGUGGCGGACGGGUGAGUAAUGUCUGGGAAACUGCCCGAUGUAGGGGGAUAACUACUGGAAACGGUAGCUAAUACCGCAUACCCUCCGCUGUGCCCAGAGGGUAUUAGAUAGUCGGUGGGUUAACGGCUCACCUAGGCGACGAUCCCUAGCUGCUCUGCGAGGGUGACCGGCAACACUGGAACUGAGACACGGUCCAGGAUCCUACGGGAGUGAGCAGUGGGGAAUAUUGCGCAAUGGGCGCAAGCCUGAUGGAGCCAUGCCGCGUGUGUGAAGAAGGCGUUCGGAUUGUAAAGCACUUUCAGCGGGGAGGCGUUAUCCACAGAAGAAGCACCGGCUAACUCCGGGCCAGCAGCCGCGGUAAUUC